CGCACGGAAACACCGUGUCAGGGGCUGUGCAGCCACGCUAAUGCUACAUUUAGAUGCAAGAAUUUGACAGCUUCAUUACUGUGAUUGUCCCUGAGCACUUAUGUAAGGAAAGAGGCUGUUCUCCCCACCAGCUCCCAGGCCCACAGCAUCUAUGCCUGAGCUCCUCAGCAUUUGGAGAGGAGGUGGCCACUGGUUGUACUGACCCCAGACCACUGUCAUAGGGUAAACAUUCCAGGUAUCAUGGAGAUUGAGGAGUGGGGAAAACAUUCCCACGGUUGAGAAUUUUAAUAUAACAGUUAUAAUAAUUAUGGUAUUUGUGCUACCAUUUAUUGAAUUCCUCUAUGUUAGGCACCUCAUUUCCUCCUCACAACCACUCUGCCAGGCAGAUAUUGUUAUCACCAUUUAACAAGGAAAAGGAUGAGAUUCAGAGAGGCACAGUAACCACGCUUUCAGCUGCGAGGUACAGAACACUCAGCCACAAGUGGCUGAGACGCAUGGAGCCUGCCAGCCUGCUUCUACCUGGAUCCUAUUUGCCACCUUGGAACAGAAGCUGUCUUGUCAAUGUGUGCAAUGAUUACAUUGGGGGAAGAUGGAGAAGCACAGAACAUUUAUCAACAUAUACCAUAUGUUGGGCUAUAAAACAAGUCUUUUUUUUUGAGGAAGAUUAGCCCUGAGCUAACAUCUGCCACCAAUCCUCCUCUUUUUGCUGAGGAAGACUGGCCCUGAGCUAACACCUGUGCCCAUCUUCCUCUAUGCUAUGUCGGAUGCCUACCACAGCAUGACUUGACAAACAGUGCAUAGGUCUGCACCUGGGAUCCGAACCAGCUAACCCCAGGCCACCAAAGUGGGAAGUGUGCACUUAACCACUGUGCCACCGGGCCAGCCCCCAAACAAGUCUUAAUAAAUUUAAAAGAAUUGAAAUCACACAGAGUAUACCUUCUAUGUGACCCAAGUGGAAUUUAGGUAGCAAUAAAUGAUGGAAAGUUAUCCAGAAAAACCCUAAAUUUUUG
rnacentral:lncRNA from 1 species